rnacentral:misc_RNA from 1 species
AGUUUCCAUCUUCUUUCGUUACAAAAACAUGUUUGAAGCUAGGUAAUUAUAAUGCUAGUGGAUGCAUGUGAGUUUAUUUUAGCAUUUAAUUACUUUAUUUGGAGUUCUGUUUGAUAUAUUUUUAAUUUGCAAGAUACCAUAUUACCUCCUCUUUGUUUUUUUCUUAAAAAAAUUAUUUAAUUCUUGUUGGCAAAUGGUUUAGAAUAUGCAUAUUAUGUGCUUUUUCCAUUUAGAAGGAUGAACUGUAUCUGUGAGUUUUUAAUUAAAGUUAUUAAUUGAUGAUUCUUUUGGUUAGAGAAAUGUGAUUUUUUUUUCUCUCUCCAUUUGUUCAGGAAGAUGUAACAGUGUGAUUCUUCACUUGGAGACUUGAUUUGAGCAGGAGAUUCUAGCGUCUUCUCUGCUAAGCAUUUCUUCUUGGGUUUUGUUUGUGGUGUUAAGUAGUCUGUUAUAUUUGAGUGAUCAUGGGGUCAGCUUGCUGUAUUGCU